AUACGUAGGUGACAAGCGUUAUCCGGAUUUACUGGGCGUAAAGGGCGCGUAGGCGGUCUUGCAAGUCAGAAGUGAAUUCCUGAGCUCAACUCGGGCGCUGCUUCUGAAACUGCAGGACUUGAGUGCUGGAGGGGAUAGCGGAAUUCCUAGUGGAGCGGGAAAAUGCGAAGAUAUUAGGAAGAACACCGGGGGCGAAGGCGGCUAUCUGGACUGUAACUGACGCUGAGGCGCGAAAGCGUGGGGAGCAAACAGGAUUAGAUCCCCUGGUAGUCCAUGCCGUAAACGGUGAGUGCUAGGUGUUGGAGGCUUCCCGGCCUUCUGUGCCGUAGCAAACGCAUUAAGCGCUCCGCCUGGGGAGUACGGCCGCAAGGCUAAAACUCAAAGGAAUUGACGGGG
rnacentral:rRNA from 1 species